UACCCGCUGACGAGCGGCGGACGGGUGAGUAAUGCAUAGGAAUCUGCCCGAUAGUGGGGGAUAACCUGGGGAAACCCAGGCUAAUACCGCAUACGUCCUACGGGAGAAAGGGGGCUCCGGCUCCCGCUAUUGGAUGAGCCUAUGUCGGAUUAGCUAGUUGGUGAGGUAAAGGCUCACCAAGGCGACGAUCCGUAGCUGGUCUGAGAGGAUGAUCAGCCACAUCGGGACUGAGACACGGCCCGAACUCCUACGGGAGGCAGCAGUGGGGAAUAUUGGACAAUGGGCGAAAGCCUGAUCCAGCCAUGCCGCGUGUGUGAAGAAGGCCCUCGGGUUGUAAAGCACUUUCAGCGAGGAAGAACGCCUAGUGGUUAAUACCCAUUAGGAAAGACAUCACUCCGCAGAAGAAGCACCGGCUAACUCCGUGCCAGCAGCCGCGGUAAUACGGAGGGUGCAAGCGUUAAUCGGAAUUACUGGGCGUAAAGCGCGCGUAGGUGGCUUGAUAAGCCGGUUGUGAAAGCCCCGGGCUCAACCUGGGAACGGCAUCCGGAACUGUCAAGCUAGAGUGCAGGAGAGGAAGGUAGAAUUCCCGGUGUAGCGGUGAAAUGCGUAGAGAUCGGGAGGAAUACCAGUGGCGAAGGCGGCCUUCUGGACUGACACUGACACUGAGGUGCGAAAGCGUGGGUAGCAAACAGGAUUAGAUACCCUGGUAGUCCACGCCGUAAACGAUGUCGACCAGCCCGUUGGGUGCCUAGCGCACUUUGUGGCGAAGUUAACGCGAUAAGUCGACCGCCUGGGGGAGUACGGGCCGCAAGGUUAAAACUCAAAUGAAUUUGACGGGGGGCCCGCACAAGCGGUGGAGCAUGUGGUUUAAUUCGAUGCAACGCGAAGAACCUUACCUACUCUUGACAUCCUGCGAACUUGUGAGAGAUCACUUGGUGCCUUCGGGAACGCAGAGACAGGUGCUGCAUGGCUGUCGUCAGCUCGUGUUGUGAAAUGUUGGGUUAAGUCCCGUAACGAGCGCAACCCUUGUCCUUAUUUGCCAGCGCGUAAUGGCGGGAACUCUAAGGAGACUGCCGGUGACAAACCGGAGGAAGGUGGGGACGACGUCAAGUCAUCAUGGCCCUUACGAGUAGGGCUACACACGUGCUACAAUGGCCGGUACAAAGGGUUGCGAGCUCGCGAGA
rnacentral:rRNA from 1 species